GGUAUCCUAUACAGUGACUGAGAGCUCAACAUGCUGCAACUGAAGAAAACACAUGCAAAUAGAAAAAAACCACCAGCAAAUUAAAAAAACAACGUUAUCAGUUUGACAACACAUGUGCUGCAAACCCCCACCAGAAACACGCUGCAAUCCUCACAACACAACCAAACAGCACAGAUCACAAAAUAAAUGUUUCAAGGGGACCACAACAAGUGACAAACCUGUCUGGGACUGCUUAUUGUUCAGUGUCUAUUCGUCAGUGGUGUUGAUGUGUGUCGAUGACCUGAAAGAUCAUCAACACCACCACUGAUGAAUAGACACUGAACAAGCAGUCCCGGGAUCGUCACUUGUUGGGAUCCCCAUGAAACAUUUAUUUGGAUUUGCAGCACGUGGUGUUUAACUGAUGAAGAUGUUUUCUUGAUUUGCUGGUGUUUUUUCUAUUUGCAUAUGUUUUCUUCAGUUGGAGUGCGUUGAACUUUCCAGCAUGAUCCUAGGUGUGCAGCCGAGGAAUCUGCAAUGACCCACCAGUAAACUAUUUUACUUUAGUAAUUCUGUUAUUCCUGUUUCCUGUUUUUUUUACUUGAAUUAAUUUAAAUUAAAUGUG